rnacentral:rRNA from 1 species
UACGUAGGGUGCAAGCGUUGCCCGGAUUUAUUGGGCGUAAAGGGCGCGUAGGCGGCUCUGCACGUUCGUUGUGAAAUCGCCCGGCUCAACUGGGCGGGGUCAGCGGAUACGGCAGAGCUUGAGCAAGCUAGGGGGCAAUGGAAUUCCCGGUGUAGUGGUGGAAUGCGUAGAUAUCAGGAGGAACACCGGUGGCGAAGGCGGGUCUCUGGGCCGAUACUGACACUGAGAAGCGAAAGCGUGGGGAGCGAACAGG